rnacentral:rRNA from 1 species
GUGAGGAAUUUUCCGCAAUGGGCGAAAGCCUGACGGAGCAAUGCCGCGUGAAGGAUGAAGGCCUAUGGGUUGUAAACUUCUUUUCUCAGAAAAGAAUUAUGACGGUAUCUGAGGAAUAAGCAUCGGCUAACUCUGUGCCAUCAGCCGCGGUAAGACAGAGGAUGCAAGCGUUAUCCGGAGUGAUUGGGCGUAAAGCGUCUGUAGGUUGUUUAAAAAGUAUUCUGUCAAAGAUUAGGGCUUAACCCUAGAUAGGCAGAAUAAACUUUUAAGCUAGAGUAUGGUAGAGGCAGAGGGAAUUCCCGGUGGAGCGGUGAAAUGCGUAGAUAUCGGGAGGAACACCAAAGGCGAAGGCACUCUGCUGGGCCAAUACUAACACUGAGAGACGAAAGCGAGGGGAGCAAAUGGGAUUAGAAACCCCGGUAGUCC